rnacentral:lncRNA from 1 species
UUCUCAGGUACAGAAAGCCACAGCCAGGAAGAUGCUCCCAAUAGAAGAGUGCAAACAUCUCUGCGGUGGCCAAUAUGGAUGACAGUUUUUGUGAGCACAUACCAAUAUGUGUAUAUAAUAGGUUCUGCAAUAGGGGUACCAAGACCAAGGAUAUAUACGAUUUAAAACAUGAUAGUUCUUGGCAAGUUGUCUCCCACCAAGUGGAGGAAUGGAAAGGAAAUGUCUGAGAAACAGCUGGAAAUGAUUGCUGAGCAUUGUGAACAGGGCUGUGAAAUGCCACGAAUUCAAAGAAUCACUGCAGAAGCUGGGACUGUAUCCCCUUGAAGAUGUGUCUGGACGUUGGGUUAAGCCCUUACCCUGGCCUUUUCUUGGAUUAAACUUCAUGGACUCUGUCUUCCGACA